AUUGUACGCUGGCGGCAGGCCUAACACAUGCAAGUCGAGCGGAUGAAGGGAGCUUGCUCCUGGAUUCAGCGGCGGACGGUUGAGUAAUUCCUAGGAAUCUGCCUGGUAGUGGGGGAUAACGUCCGUUAACGGGUGCUAAUACCGCAUACGUCCUGAGUGAGCAAGUGGUUGAUCUUUGGCCCUCACGCUCUCAGAUGCGCCUAGGUCGGAUUAGCUAGUUGGUGGGGUCAGGGCCUUCCAAGGCGACGACCCGUAACUGGUCUGAGAGAAUAAUCAGUCACACUAGAACUGAGAAUCGUUCCUGACGCCUACGGGAGGCCGCAGUGGGGAAUAUUGGCCAAUGGGCGAAAGCCUGAUCCAGCCAGCGCGCGUGUGUGAAGAAGGUCUUCGGAUUGUAGAGCACUUUAAGUUGGGAGGAAGGGCAGUAAGUUAAUACCUUGCUAUUGUGACGUUACCAACAGAAUAAGCGCCGGCUAACUUCGUG
rnacentral:rRNA from 1 species